UACGAAGGGGGCUAGCGUUACUCGGAUUGACUGGGCGUAAAGGGCGCGUAGGCGGUUUGUACAGUCAGACGUGAAAUUCCUGGGCUCAACCUGGGGGCUGCGUUUGAUACGUGCGGACUUGAGUUCGGAAGAGGGUCGUGGAAUUCCCAGUGUAGAGGUGAAAUUCGUAGAUAUUGGGAAGAACACCGGUGGCGAAGGCGGCGACCUGGUCCUUGACUGACGCUGAGGCGCGAAAGCGUGGGGAGCAAACAGG
rnacentral:rRNA from 1 species